CAUAUGAAGGAAAGGUGUAUAAUGAAAUUCCUUCAGAUGGAAAAAAUGGCACCUGUUGACAUUCAUUGAUGCUUGCUGAAUAUUUAUGUAGACCAAACAGUGGAUGUGAGCACAGUGAAGUGAUGGGUGGCAUGUUUCAGCAGGGGCAACAGCAAUGUGAAAGACAAGUCACAUUCUGGAUGGCCGUACACAGCUGUCGCACUAGAAAAUGAAGAGUGUUUUGAUCAGCUCAUGCACAAAUUGGCAGACUGCAACAAGGGAACUGUGGACAAAACUGAAUAUUGUCUUCAAUGAAUUGGAAAUGAUGGUGGCAGUGUUGGAAUACAGCAAAGUUUGCACCAAGUGGAUCCUGUGAAUGCUCAUAUGGGAACAGAAAGCACACCAUAUGCAAGUUUGUUAAGACUUAUUGAACCAAUACAAGGCUGAAGGUGACAGUUUCCUGGGUCACAUUGUUACAGGUGACAAGAUGUGGUGUCACCACAAUGAGCUGGAGUAAAAAUGGCAAUCCAUGGAGUGGCAAUACAUGAAUUCCCCAUUGAAAAAUAGUUCAAGGUGUAGCCCUCAACUGGUAAAGUGAUGUAUACUGUCUUUUGGGAUAGAAAAGGGGUAAUCCUUCUGGGUUUCCUGUAACCUGGACAAACUAUCAGCUCAGACCUCUACAUCCCGAUGCUGACUAACUUCUAAAGUUAGGCUGGAGAAGAAGACAUCCUUUCUCUUGUAAUAUGAAACACCAGGCCCUUCAUCAGUUUGAAAACCACGGAGCACAUUGCCAGUCUUGGCUGGACUAUCCUUCCACACCCACUGUAUAAUCUGGAUUUGGUGCCUUCUGACUUCCAUUUGUUCAGGCCGAUGAAAGAUGGAUUGCAUUGGCAACAUUUUCUUAGCAAUUAUGCCAUCAGAGCAUCUGUGAAAUGCCUGCGUUUAAGCACAGCACACCAGCAGCAGUCCAAGGAGCAGGUUUAUGGAAGAACGUUCUUCCUUUUAGUGCACUUCUGGCUGAAAGAUCCAUGCUUAGGAUACCUGGUGACCAACAGAAAUGCGAACAGCUGUUAAAAGUCUCUGAUCAAGAAGGCCUGAUAACUCCAACACUGAGAAAAUCCCCAGACUCCAUAUUGCCGAUUACUUCUCCAACCAGUAGCUGGUUUGCAAGACCACAAAAUCUGGUACCGUUCAACAGAAUGCUGAUGGCUAAAUAGAAAUGGUCCACAAAUAGGGCUCAGUAGUGCUACAGAAAUAUGAACAACAACAGGAGAGGCAGCACACAACAUGACUAAUGAUGAAGUAAUUAAAGCUUAGAGAAGUGUUUAUUGCUGGAUGUUGUGCAAUUCUCUAAAGAUGUUAUAAAUAUCAACAAAGUCUCUCUCUCUCUCUCUCUUUUUUUUUUUUUUUACUUUGUUUAGUUCCUUUGCUGGCUUAUUUUUGGGCACAGCUUCUGUCUACAAGAUAUUUCUGGGUAGACCAGGGAUUGUACGGUAUGUGGACCAAAACAAAUUGUGUGAAUGCUGGUAAAUGAAAAUUACAGAGUUUUGUUCGGCUCUCUUGACUAUCUGUUGUGAAAGGAAGCUCACUGUCUCUGGAUGCAGUAUUAGGAAUAGAACAUUAUGCAAUAAUCAUAGUAAUAGUAAAAUUAUAGUAGCAAUAAUACCACUUUUGCUCUUUCCCCAUUGAUUUGCAAGAAUAGUUGGCUCCAGCCCUCUGUGUAAUAUUACGCUGGGAUGCAGUUCCUGGCUAUAGGAGGCACUACUGCUGGGCAAUGUGGUGACUUUUCUUAAGAUCUAAAAGUUUAUACUCUGUGGGCAGCAGUUUUAUUUAAAAUUUGGCAUCCCGUGCUUGUACAGCAUCUUGGCUUCUAUGUCGUCUAAUCCUUAUUUUGGCACUGUUUCCAUGAAGCUCAGACUCAGAGAUCUGGCACCAGACCCCACUGUGUUUCUCCUCUCACUUUUCUCCUACUGCUCCCCACCAGCUAGACUGGAACAAGAAAUAAUGACAUCCUACAUUCCAAAUGACUGACAGGCCUUGGGCUAUGUGGAGGUUACUUCUCACUGAAGGAAAUAUUUGACUUGCAAGCAGGUACUGAAAUCCUGUUUAGAAAAAUCAUGACUUUAUGUCAGUGAAAAUAAGAUUAUUAUUAUUUUUUUUUACUUCUUAUUUGAGAGUAAAGGAUAAAAAUGCAGCUAGCAGCACUUUCUUUAGUGAGGUAUAGGAACCUCUUCUACCUGGUAAGUGGCACAAAAUAUCUGGAUGUUGCUGUCCGUUUAAAAAGCAGCUAACAACAUGUGGGUUCCCAUGUUCAAGCAAGCAGAUUUACUUGAGGAUGAGAAGAAGGAAAGGUGGUAGCCUAAAUCAGCCUUGGGCUCUGCCUUCCCCCUAUCUUUUUGCAUUCAGGGGGUUUCUAAUGCCCAUCAGUCCAAGCAGAGCAGUGCUUCUUGUCAGCUGCCUGGCCAUUGCACACACGUGGCGUGGCUGCAGCAUUCCAAGACAGACCUGCUGAUGACCACACACCUACCAUGUGCCACAUGAAUUUACAUUUCUACCUAGGAUUUUCUGAACUGAUUUUGAUGUCUUCUUUGCAUGCUUUUGCCUCUCACGACCUGGCCAUGAGAACACAGUGGUGCAGCCUGCAGCUUCAUACUGCAUCUAAAGUUCUUGACGUGUUGGUACAUAUCUCCUGUUGUCUUGGAAAGAGGACAGCUUUGCACAGACUGCCAAAUUGUUUUUUGUCCCUCCUUAGACUUGCUUUAAGGAGUCUCUCACAGUGUUGAUAUGCUAAAAAUACAGUAUAUUUUUAUAUUUUCUCUACAUAGAAGUGAUAUUUUGCUCUAACUGCACACUUAUCAUAAGAACAAACAACGAAGCAUCAGCAAAAUACUGAAAGCAGCAGUUGGAAAUAAGAAAUCAUGAAGAAAAAGAUAAAGUAGGGAACAAAGGAUACAAUAAGUGAUAAAAUGCAGAAAACUGGUAAGGGAAGUCUAAAGUUGGGAAAAUCCCUAUCUGGAGUUGCUGAAGACAAUGAAAAUGAAUUCUUCAACUACAGUAAGAACAAAAGAGAUCCUAAUGAUGGGACAUAAAUAUUAUCAGCUGGAGAUUACUACAAAGAAUUCCCACGAUAUGGGAAAAUAUAUAUCCUGUAGCUAUUUUUGUUCCUUUCUUGAUGUAUUUCUAUUUUAUUAUGCUCAUGGAAGCUCCUUUCAGAUAAUAGGUCACUGGAAGGAAAGCAAAGCAACAUCUUCUAAUGAUAAUCAUUUAUAAACCAUUAGGGCUUAGUAUACCUAGAAGUUCAGAAACCAUCGGAUAAGGAAAUUUUCCGAUUGUUGCUCCUUACUUUGAAUUAAUCACAGCAGCCAAGUCCAACCAGUGGCUCACAGGCCACACACUGCCUGGCACAGCCUGCAGUGCGACUGCCCUCUGCCCUGUAUGCAACUGUCACUCGAAUGACCAAACAUUGGUGUGCUAUUAACCCCAUCUGGGUUGAAACCAGAGCCUGCAGUGUAGUGCAGCUCCAGCUCAAGUUAUGGCAAAAAAUUUUAAGCAUUUUGGUACAUUGUCUAAACACUGGUCUGUGAACAGAAAAAAACCAUGUAGUCAUGCUUUCCAUUGUGGUAUAAGAAUUUGAGAAGAGGUUUCCAGAUUGCAAAAGGAAAUUAUCUUUUUAUUUUUGUAUAUUUGCAACUUCAUUUUCAGUCGACUUAAAAACAUGAGCUGCAAAUUUUGAUAUGGAAUGUAUAGCGUUGUAAUCAGACAUUCAACUCAAAAAUCUGGUCAUGUGUCUCUACUGCAGUCACACCUCGUUCAUGUCAUUGCAUUUUGAAAGCAUGUAUGUUUGUGAACAAAUGUUUUCAAGGAUGAAGCACAGGAAAAAUAAAAUUUCAUAAAAAAUCUCUGACAAAUACCUCGAGAACUCACUGAUAAUUGCAGCCACUGCUGCUGAAUCAGGCUGAUGCAUUAGUUUCACAAAAAUAGGGUCGCAUACCCCACUAGUUUUACACUUUUGUUAUUCUCCUUUUUUAUAUUUUAACAAAAAAUAUUAAAAAUUAAAAUGUUUUGUUACUUAUAUUAAGUAUAUAUUUUAUGAAUGCCUCCUAUUUUGUUAUGUUGGCCCAUGACGUCAGAGGCAGAUGUUGGUGGUAUGGCAAUAGAGGUUGAACCUUCCCACCAAGAUCCCAUUACAUUUUAUUGCCAUGUGAGAGGUGACAGCAGAGGGGC
ensembl:lncRNA